rnacentral:rRNA from 1 species
UACAGAGGGUGCAAGCGUUAAUCAGAAUUACUGGGCGUAAAGCGUGCGUAGACGGUUACAUAAGUCAGAUGUGAAAGCCCCGGGCUCAACCUGGGAAUUGCAUUUGAGACUGCGUAGCUAGGGUGCGGAAGGGGGAAGCGGAAUUUACGGUGUAGCGGUGAAAUGCGUAGAUAUCGUAAGGAAGACCAGUGGCGAAGGCGGGUCUCUGGACAGUUCCUGACGCUGAGGCACGAAGGUCAGGGGAGCAAACGGG